GCCGCAGACCGCAGUUUCCACACGGCAACCACUACACAAAAGCCUUGGGUGAUGGUCUGCCUUGGUGUGGUGUUGAUGAGUUUGUUCGUACAUGCUGCCAGUGCCACUCGAGGCUUGUUCUCCCUACGCCCAUUGACUGCAUUGCUGCCGAGCUUAGCCUCCACUGCAGGCAUGGCGAGCUCCUCAGAGACCCCGGAGUUCAGCGUCACCUAUGUUACCGCCCCCAACAUGGAGGUGGCCAAGACCCUGGCAAGGGGGCUGGUGGGGGCCAAGCUGGCUGCGUGCGUGAACAUCGUCCCUGGCGUCACCUCCGUGUGAUCAAGACGCGCGCUGCUCUGCUGGCCGAGGUCACCGAGUACGUCGUGGCCACUCACCCCUAUAUACGUGUGUGAGGUGCUGGCCGCUCCUGUGAGUGGCGGGGGUGUGUGAGGUGCUGGCCGCUCCUGUGAGUGGCGGGGGUGUGUGAGGUGCUGGCCGCUCCUGUGAGUGGCGGGGGUGUGUGAGGUGCUGGCCGCUCCUGUGAGUGGCGGGGGUGUGUGAGGUGCUGGCCGCUCCUGUGAGUGGCGGGGGUGUGUGAGGUGCUGGCCACUCCUGUGAGUGGCGGAGGUGUGUGAGGUGCUGGCCACUCCUGUGAGUGGCGGGGGUGUGUGAGGUGCUGGCCACUCCUGUAAUGGGGGGCAACCCCCCCUACCUCGCUUGGCUAGGGGAGAACAUUAAAUCUCCAUCUAAAUAGCCCUGCAAUAAUAAGAAAUUAUUCAAUAAAUUAUUCCAUUCACUAA
rnacentral:misc_RNA from 1 species